CUUACGGGGGGCAGCAGUAAGGAAUAUUGGUCAAUGGACGAAAGUCUGAACCAGCCAUCCCGCGUGCAGGAUGAAAGCCCUAUGGGUUGUAAACUGCUUUUAGCAGAGAAGAAAAGCUUCCAUUUAUGGGGGUCUGACGGUAUCUGCAGAAUAAGCACCGGCUAACUCCGUGCCAGCAGCCGCGGUAAUACGGAGGGUGCGAGCGUUACCGGGAAUUACUGGGUUGUAAGGGUGGGUAUGCGGAGGUGGUGAAAUCUUGUCGCUUAACGAUAAAAUUGCCAAUGAUACUGGUACUCUUGAAUUGGGUUGAGGUUAGCGGAAUGUGACAUGUAGCGGUGAAAUGCAUAGAUAUGUCAUGGAACACCAAUUGCGAAGGCAGCUAACUGGGCCUUGAUUGACGCUGAGGCACGAAAGCGUGGGUAGCGAACAGGAUUAGAUACCCCUGUAGUC
rnacentral:rRNA from 1 species